rnacentral:rRNA from 1 species
AACGAACGCUGGCGGCAGGCUUAACACAUGCAAGUCGAACGCACCUUCGGGUGAGUGGCAGACGGGUGAGUAACGCGUGGGAACCUUCCCUGUGGUACGGAAUAGCUCCGGGAAACUGGAAUUAAUACCGUAUACGCCCUUUUGGGGAAAGAUUUAUCGCCAUAGGAUGGGCCCGCGUCGGAUUAGCUUGUUGGUAGGGUAAUGGCCUACCAAGGCAACGAUCCGUAGCUGGUCUUAGAGGAUGAUCAGCCACACUGGGACUGAGACACGGCCCAGACUCCUACGGGAGGUAGCAGUGGGGAAUAUUGGACAAUGGGCGAAAGCCUGAUCCAGCCAUGCCGCGUGAGUGACGAAGGCCUUAGGGUUGUAAAACUCUUUUGGCGGGGACGAUAACGACGGUACCCGCAGAAUAAGCCCCGGCUAACUUCGUG